UACGUAGGGUGCAAGCGUUAAUCGGAAUUACUGGGCGUAAAGGGCGCGCAGGCGGCUGCUCAAGUCAGGCGUGAAAGGCCUGGGCUCAACCCGGGAAUUGCGCUUGAGACUGGGCUGGCUUGAGUGCGGGAGAGGAUGGUGGAAUUCCCAGUGUAGAGGUGAAAUUCGUAGAUAUUGGGAAGAACACCGGUGGCGAAGGCGGCCAUCUGGACCGCAACUGACGCUGAGGUGCGAAAGCGUGGGGAGCAAACAGG
rnacentral:rRNA from 1 species